rnacentral:rRNA from 1 species
AGUAAUGUGAAUUGCAGAAUUCAGUGAAUCAUCGAAUCUUUGAACGCACAUUGCGCCCUGUGGUAUUCCGCAGGGCAUGCCUGUUCGAGCGUCAUUUAACCACUCACGCUUAGCGUGGUAUUGGAGCACGCGGUCUCGCGGCCCUCAAAAUUAGUGGCGGCGCCGGUGGGCUCUAAGCGUAGUACAUACUCCCGCUAUAGAGUUUCUCCGGUGGCUCGCCAGAACCCCCAAUUUUGUUACAGGUUGACCUCGGAUCAGGUAGGGAUACCCGCUGAACUUAAGCAUAUCAAUAAGCGGAGGAAAAGAAACCAACAGGGAUUACCUCAGUAAC